UUCUUUUUCUCAUCCUACUUCAAACUUCAAUGGCAAUUGAGAGUGUCUUGCUUUUGGAUUGGAUCACAAUGAAUUAUGUUAUAGUAUAUACAUAGAUCAAUUUAUAAUUUAAUUAUAAGUUGUCAUAUAAAAUAAUCUAUAAUUAUCAUAAUUAUAAGCUUUAAUGACUCUAAGAUUAGAAGUUUGUGAUUACUGACUUCGUGCCGCUGCAACAUCUUCUUCAAAGCAAUUAUCCCUAAAGAAGGUUCGAGUAUUAUAAAACUUAAGUUUCACUCUUCACCGAUGUUUACUUUCGCUCAUUCAUCUUUCGGAUCUAAAACGACUUAUGGUGGAAGCACUAGAUCUCAAAUCCGAAUCCACUGGAUUUGAAAUCAAAAAGGUCUGCUGAUUAUAUAUUUUGAGUUUCGAUUUUCAUACAGGUUUUAUGCUAUUUAUGGAAGAUAUUGUUCAUCUUCUUCAUCCAACUUUAAAAGGCGGUGAACAGAACUGGAGAUUUGAAAAACAAAAUGGGUCUUGAAAAUCUGAAGUUUAGGACAAGUUUAGUAUUUAUGACAUAUGUUGUUCUUCUUAUGGAGGAUAUUGUUCAUCUUCUUCAUCCAACUCCGAGAGAUAUGUUUAUAUUUUUUUAUAAAAAAUCACAUCUUUUUGUUUUAUAUUAGUCAAAUCUUGUAUUUAAAAGUUGUUCUAUGGUUAAUUUAUAAAAGAUAAAAAUAGGGUUUACACAUUUAGUUAAAUGUUUUUCUUUCUGGAUUCACAUAAAAGUGUUAAUUUUUUUUUUUUAUUUUUUCACCAUCCUCUGUAUUUUGAUGCUAUUUUUUAAUGUUAUUUUUUAUGGAUUUACAUAUAAUUUUAAUUUUUUUCCUAAUCUAUUGAAGGUUCAUCCAUGGAGGUUUGUUUGAAAAGCGAGAAGAAAGACAAAUAAAUUGAUAGUUUCCUACUUUUUCUCUGAAUUUUUUCCAACACAGGACAUUACACAUCUAUUCCAACCUGUAUGAAGUUUGAUAACCUGACAAAAAAAUUAAUAGCUGCUUGCUUUUUUGAAAAUUCUGCAAACAAGGGUUAAAUUAUAAUUAAAUGUGUCAUGCUACCUUUAUCAGCUAUGACAGUCUUCUGCUGCUUUUUGCACGAUUUGAGGUCUGUUUCACGACAAUUGAGGACUGUUUUGCUACAGGACAUGAUGUAAAGCAACAAUACCAAAAGUCACUCUUAAAUUGUUUAUAGUCUUCCUUCUAAUAUGUAAAUAUUUAGUUCAACUAUUCCUUGGAGGUAGCAGGUAGAACAUGUAAAAGUCUUUUUUAUAGUUUAAGAAAGUUCUACGUGCAAUUCAUAUAAAAAAAAGUUCUUUGUGUAAUUUAAAUUUAAAAUAUGUCGUCU